rnacentral:lncRNA from 1 species
UGUAUAUCCUGAAAGCUGCGACACUCGGCUGACAGGGACGAGGCUCUCGGUGAAUGGAAGGACACCCCGUGUCCACGGUGGGAGACCCACCUUGGCGCCAACGCUGACUGCCGUGUCCUAGGGGACCACACACCUCCACUGGCGCCCCAAGAGCCCUUUGCACAAAAUGGAAAAGCCCAGCCUCAAAUUUAUAUGGGGUUCAAGGGACCCAAACAACAACAACAACAACAAACAACAAACACUUGAAAAUCAAUCGAUUCAGAGAACACCCAGUUUCCGGGCCAGGACUGACCACAAUCCUAGAGCGAUGGGAACCGCGGGCCCGGCCUGCAGAGGACACGGAGACGGAGGGGGGGGAAGCCCGGGAGCCCACCCUCGCACCUGUGGCCAGGGAUUCUGUUUUACUCUUUGUCAGUUGUAGGUGGACACAAUAGCUGUGCCCCUGGGCCCCAGCCCCAGCCCCGGCCAGUUGAUGGCGAGACCACGCAGCGGGUCAGAACAGUCUCUUCAACAAAUGGUGCUGAGAACACUGAUUUCCAUGUAAAAAGGGAUAAAUGUGGAUCCUUAUACAAAACCUAACUCAUAAGGGGUCCAAGACCUGAACUCAGAGCUUUAGAAGAAGACGUUGGGGAGAAUCUCCAUGAACACACACAUCUCAUGUUCCCAUGCACAGGACGCCGAGGCCCAGCGACGG